AUCACACAAUAAAGGCUGGAGCCCAGCUGAGUUGGCACAGUGCAUUUGAGGUAACUGCAGACCAUGGAGUGUGUUGGUGUUCAGGGAAUAUACCUUGACAGCAAAAGCAGUAGAUAAACUGGUGGAAGGAGUCCUUACACAGAGAAGAGUUCUAAAAUCACAGGUGAAAAGUUGAAGAGCCGUUCCACUAAGCUACGAAAGGUCUCCUGCAAAAAGCAAGGAAGAAUAUCUUUAAUGUUUUUUGGUACUGAAGAAGAACAUUUCCAGAGCUGAUAUUCAUUAGAAAUAAGUGGUUUGAAGUGAUCGGUCUCUGUCAUGUUUCUGGACGGGCUGACUCAGCUGCUUCAGUGAAGAGUAAGCAGCUUCAGGAAGGAGAGAGGACCGUCCUCUCUGUCUCCGUCUGUGCAUCUGAAGAUCCAGAGCAGACUCUGCAGUUAUUUGCUGAUGGCCACAUAAGCUGCUGCAGAGAAAACUAACUCUGUCCCAGGCCAAAACAGUGCAGGACCACAUAUUUUUGUAAGACAACUAUUUUCUGUGUUGUUAAUGCUGCACCAUCACUACUUACAUUGGUGUAACUUGCAUAGAGACCUGCUUUGCUGUAGUGGAAUGUAGGGGCUCCUGAGUUUGUCCAGCUAAUUUGAGACGUUCCUGCAGACCUCCACCUUCACUGCCUGCCUUACUCAACUCAGCAUGGAUAUAUACACCUCCUAAAGCUGUCAUCCAGACCCUGAGCUGUGCCCUUCAAAAAGUGUUGCUCAUUGCAAGGCCUGAAGGUAGCGUCAAGGAUUGAAAGUUAUGGUUAUAUUUUCCUGUCUGUUGGGAUUUUCUGAAUAUCCACUGUUAAAGUUUUAGACCAGUAAUGUUGUCAUCCAUUUGGAUGUGGAAUUAUAUUACCAGGAAGCUGGUUUUGUUUUUUGUAGAUUCAUUAAACUGACCAGUGAGGAAAAAGGGAGAGAAGGCACUUAAAUGUCAUCCAAUACUAAAAUAAGACAACUGGAUAUUUUUAUUUGACGAAAUUGUGCAAUUCUUCUUUUAUGGCUCCCAGUCAAUGGUCUUCAAAGUCAACAGCAUUCUUUGAAUCAAACCCUAUGGCCUUUUAAAAAGAAGCUCUGCACAUUAAUGUAAUCUGGUUUAGGAACUCUACUUUUCCAGGCCGAUGUGCUGAAUGUGUCUCCUCUUAACAUUAAUAAAGGCAUAUGGCAAGAGAGGAAAGAACUGCAGAAGCAGCCUCCCUGUUUCGUGCUAGGAGUUGUGAUGCUUGGAGAGUACACAUACAAACAGCGAGCUCCUCGAGAAGCCUACCACUGCUUCUGCUAGCUGUGGGGAAAAAUCAGAGGCCAGAAGUUGAUUCUAUUUUUGUCCAAACAGCCUGUGGAAAGCAAGACAAAGUUUCCUGUGAGAUCAUGCUGCUUCUGAAGCCUCCUGAGCCUGCCAGCUGACUAUGGAAAGGCAACAAAUAACUAGUCUUCCUCUCUUGUUGCGUGUGCGUGGCUGUUAGGCAAGAGCAACACAAAUGGACAACGGCACUCAUGAGCAAGGCAGCGUUUUUCCCGUGAUCCUGUGCUUAGGUGAAUAGCGAUGUUUCUUAGGGAUCUGUUUCUCACAUAGGCUGGAAAGGACAAAUAGUAGAGACAGGAGGUGACAUUUAUAGCUUGCUGUGUCAGCAGGAGGCAGUGGGUUGCACUCGUGGCACCAAUGGCUGCUCAUCAGUAAGCAAAAUUGUCCAGACUUUUCCCAUUACAUAAAACAUUAUCCUAAAAUUGCCACAAUUUCUUGUCAGGGUGUUUUUGUAGCCUUGCUGUAAUCCUGGAACACCAGAAUCUAUGAUUUACAGAUAUUUUCAGACCAAGAACCUACAGCUCAGAAACAACCCCUCAUUUUCAAUCAGAGUUGUAGCUCAGAAAAUUUUCCCAUGCUUUAAUCCACUGAUGGCCUUUUACCCAUCCAGGUGACAUUGUAGAGCUAGUGAUAUCAUCCCUGCCCAAAACACACACUGGAGCAAGGUCCAGCAACCCCGGUCUGUCUGAGAGGAUGGAUGUUUGUCCUGCUAGCCUAUAAGAAGUUAUGCUAAGCAACAUGCUGACCAUGCCUUGGGGUGCUAUUGUCUGACACCUUCCUUGACUUUCCUCAACAAUCUUCCAAUUUCUCUAUAUGUUGGUUCCCUUCAACAGCAGAUGCUACUGAUUAAAUCCACAGUCACACAAUUCUUCAAAUCAGUGCUUCUCUCUUUUUCAACCCAGAUUGCCUUUCUGUCUUGUCUUGACUAUACCUCUGAAAGUCCCAAUUUCCUUGUAGAAGCAGAGCAUUCUCUGCCAUUUUUUCAGUCAUCAACUUUUUAAAUCUGAGUGCUCUAAUGUUUUGACAUGAC
ensembl:lncRNA